rnacentral:rRNA from 1 species
UGCGGCACCAGUCGCGAAAACUCCGCAAUACGCGAAAGCGUGACGGGGCCAUCCCGAGUGCCGUCCGCUGAGGAUGGCUUUUCCCCAGUGUAGAUAGCUGGGGGAAUAAGGAGAGGGCAAGUCUGGUGUCAGCCGCCGCGGUAAUACCAGCUCUCCGAGUGGUGGGGACGUUUAUUGGGCUUAAAGCAUCCGUAGCCGGCUGGGCAAGUCCCCUGUUAAAUCUAACGAUUCAAUCGUUGGAUUGCGGGGGAUACUGCUCGGCUAGGGGGCGAGAGAGGCCGACGGUAUUCCCGGGGUAGGGGUGAAAUCCUAUAAUCCCGGGAGGACCACCAGUGGCGAAGGCUGUCGGCUAGAACGCGCCCGACGGUGAGGGAUGAAAGCUGGGGGAGCGAACCGGAUUAGAUACCCGGGUAGUCC